rnacentral:rRNA from 1 species
CCUACGGGUGGCUGCAGUAGGGAAUUUUCGUCAAUGGGCGCAAGCCUGAACGAGCGAUGCCGCGUGAGUGACGAAGGCCUUCGGGUCGUAAAGCUCUGUUUCGGGGGAAAAAAGGCAGCAUCAGGAAAUGGGUGCUGACUGAUGGUGCCCCGCCAGAAAGUCACGGCUCACUACGUGCCAGCAGCCGCGGUAAUACGUAGGUGGCGAGCGUUAUCCGGAAUGAUUGGGCGUAAAGGGUGCGCAGUCGGGCCUGCAAGUCUGGAGUGAUACGGAUGAGCUCAACUCAUGCAUGGAUUUGGAAACUGGAUGACUGGAGAGCAGGAGAGGGCGGUGGAACUCGAGGUGUAGCGGUAAAAUGCGUAGAUAUAUGGAAGAACACCAGUGGCGAAGGCGGCCGCCUGGACUGUUGCUGACGCUGAGGCACGAAAGCGUGGGGAGCAAAUAGGAUUAGAUACCCGGGUAGUC